AAAUACCUUGGACUUAUUUUCUGCCCUCGAUUUUAUUUACUUCUUUAGGCAUUCAGAUACCAAAACCUCGUCCUCUACCUAUGCUUGCGAAUUGAGUCACAGCUUGUGGUUUACCUUAUUUCCCCAAGUCCAUGCUCAGUUGAUGUGAUGAUAUAGCGCUCCCUCAGCUUUCCCCUCUUUCCCCAGUGCUCAUUUAUGACCCGUCUGUGUGUUCAUUUCCCCUUCCCCAUAACUGGCAUCAUGCUCUGUCCAUAGUAGACAUUCAGGAAGUGUGAAUUUCAUAAGGGAAUGUUGGUUCCUUUUCUUGCCUUUUC
rnacentral:lncRNA from 1 species